UACGGGGGGGGCAAGCGUUGUUCGGAAUUACUGGGCGUAAAGGGCUCGUAGGCGGCCAACUAAGUCAGACGUGAAAUCCCUCGGCUUAACCGGGGAACUGCGUCUGAUACUGGUUGGCUUGAAUCCGGGAGAGGGAUGUGGAAUUCCAGGUGUAGUGGUGAAAUGCGUAGAUAUCGGGAGGAACACCAGUGGCGAAGGCGACUACCUGGCCUGUUCUUGACGCUGAGGCGCGAAAAGCUAGGGUAGCAAACGGGG
rnacentral:rRNA from 1 species